rnacentral:tRNA from 2 species
GCGAAGCGCGUGGGACUCGAACCCACACCCACCCCUUAUUGCGGGGCCGCUCUGCCGAUUGAGCGCAGCGCUCC